UGAAUUGCUCUUGAGCGUUAACUAUAUCCAUCUACACCUGUGAACUGUUGAUGACUUCGGUCAAUUACUUUUACAAACAUUGUGUAAUGAACGUCAUGUUAUUAUAACAAAAAUAACUUUCAACAACGGAUCUCUUGGCUCUCGCAUCGAUGAAGAACGCAGCGAAAUGCGAUAAGUAAUGUGAAUUGCAGAAUUCAGUGAAUCAUCGAAUCUUUGAACGCAACUUGCGCUCUCUGGUAUUCCGGAGAGCAUGCCUGUUUGAGUAUCAUGAAAUCUCAACCAUUAGGGUUUCUUAAUGGCUUGGAUUUGGGCGCUGCCACUUGCCUGGCUCGCCUUAAAAGAGUUAGCGUAUUAACUUGUCGAUCUGGCGUAAUAAGUUUCGCUGGUGUAGACUUGAGAAGUGCGCUUCUAAUCGUCUUCGGACAAUUCUUGAACUC
rnacentral:misc_RNA from 1 species